AAAAAAUUAAUAACUACAAGAAUUAAAAUAAAAUGUUUUAAAUGAAUGAUUAAACUUAUUUUUUUUUAUCUACAUGUAAGUGUUAAUAUUUCAGCAAUUGCAUAACUUAAUAUCUAAGGCCGGAUACUUCAUUACCGUGUAAUUACCAUUAUAUGCUCUUUUUCAAUUUCAAGCUUGAUUCUCAAGAGUCGAAAAGAGUAUACCAAACAGCAAUCAUUGUGGCUAUUAAUGACAAAAAUAGUAAAUUUGUAUUUG
rnacentral:lncRNA from 1 species